GACGAACGCUGGCGGCGUGCUUAACACAUGCAAGUCGAACGGAAAGGCCCUGCUCUUGUGGGGUGCUCGAGUGGCGAACGGGUGAGUAACACGUGAGUAACCUGCCCUUGACUUUGGGAUAACUUCAGGAAACUGGGGCUAAUACCGGAUAGGAGCUCCUGCUGCAUGGUGGGGGUUGGAAAGUUUCGGCGGUUGGGGAUGGACUCGCGGCUUAUCAGCUUGUUGGUGGGGUAGUGGCUUACCAAGGCUUUGACGGGUAGCCGGCCUGAGAGGGUGACCGGCGACAUUGGGACUGAGAUACGGCCCAGACUCCUACGGGAGGCAGCGGUGGGGAAUAUUGCACAGUGGGCGGAAGCCUGAUGCAGCAACGCCGCGUGCGGGAUGACGGCCUUCGGGUUGUAAACCGCUUUCGCCUGUGACGAAGCGUGAGUGACGGUAAUGGGUAAAGAAGCACCGGCUAACUACGUG
rnacentral:rRNA from 1 species